rnacentral:rRNA from 1 species
AGAAUCAACGCUGGCGGCGUGCCUAACACAUGCAAGUCGCACGAGAAAGGGGAGCAAUCCCUGAGUACAGUGGCGCACGGGUGAGUAACACGUGAAUAAUCUACCUCCGAGUGGGGAAUAACUGAGAGAAAUCUUAGCUAAUACCGCAUAAUACCCACGGGUCAAAGCAGCAAUGCGCUUGGAGAGGAGUUCGCGGCAGAUUAGUUAGUUGGCGGGGUAAUGGCCCACCAAGACGAUGAUCUGUAUCCGGCCUGAGAGGGCGCACGGACACACUGGAACUGAAACACGGUCCAGACUCCUACGGGAGGCAGCAGUGGGGAAUUUUGCGCAAUGGGGGAAACCCUGACGCAGCAACGCCGCGUGGAGGAUGAAGCCCUUGGGUGUAAACUCCUUUCGAUCGGGAAGAUAAUGACGGUACCGAUAUAAGAACGCCCGGCUAACUUCGUGCCAGCAGCCGC